AGAAUCAACGCUGGCGGCGUGCCUAACACGUGCAAGUCGCACGAGAAAGGGAGUUCGCUCCUGAGUAAAGUGGCGCACGGGUGAGUAACACGUGAAUCAUCUACCUCCGAAUGGGGAAUAACUGAGAGAAAUCUUAGCUAAUACCGCAUAAUACCUACGGGUCAAAGCAGCAAUGCGUUUGGAGAGGAGUUCGCGGUCGAUUAGUUAGUUGGCGGGGUAAUGGCCCACCAAGACGAUGAUCGAUAUCCGGCCUGAGAGGGCGCACGGACACACUGGAACUGAAACACGGUCCAGACUCCUACGGGAGGCAGCAGUGGGGGAAUUUUGCGCAAUGGGGGAAACCCUGACGCAGCAACGCCGCGUGGAGGAUGAAAUAUCUUGGUAUGUAAACUCCUUUCGAUGGGGAAGAUAAUGACGGUACCCAUAGAAGAAGCCCCGGCUAACUUCGUGCCAGCAGCCGC
rnacentral:rRNA from 1 species